CAUCCUUUCCCAAAGUCGCGAUGUUCCUUUAACGUAGAGAAUGUUAACUUAUAAUAAAUGUAGGUCUAUUUCUAGACUGUCUACUCUGCUCUCUUACUUCAUCUGUUUCUUCCCAUGCCUAUAUGCCCCUAGUGAAACAUUGCUGUAGUUAUCAUGAUGUUAUAACAUAUCUUUUCAAAAAUCGUUUUGGCUAGUAUAGUGUUUUGUUCUAAGUAAGCUGUCGAAUUAUUCUGCUAAAUUUUUAAAUCCUGUUGGAUCUUUUCUUGAAUUUGCAUGAAAUGUCUAGCACUGAGGCACUGAGGCCUGCCAACAACCAGCCAGCGAGCUUGAAAGCCGAUCCUCUCCCAGUUGAGCUUUCAGAUAAGAUGACAGCUCCAGCCCACAACUUGACAACCCUCCUGAGAGAUGAGCAGAACCAGCCAGCUAAGCCACUCCCACACUGGCCCACAGAAAGUCCCCAAAGUAAUCUUUUCAAUAAAUGAUGCUGAGACAAUCAGAUAGUCACAUGAAAAAAAGUGAACCUUGAUUCAUACUUUUUAUCAUAUGAAACAGUGGAUCAUCAACCUAAAUGUAAAGCCUAAAACUGCAAAACAUUUAAAAGAAAACAAAGGAGAAAAUAUUUGUGACCUGGGGGUGGGCAAUGGUUUCUUAGCCAGAACACAAACAACAUGAGCUAUAAAAGAAAAAAAAAGGCUGUUUUACUACGGGUUUGCCACUAGAACGCAGGUGUCGUGAAAACCACUGAUAAAUCUAAGCCAAAAUGGGAAAGGAAAAGACUCAUAUCAACAUCAUCUUCAUUGGACACGUAGAUUCCAGCAAGUUUACCGCUACUGGUCAUCUGAGCUACAAAUGUGGUGGGAUCGACAAAAGAAGCAUUGAAAAAUUUGAGAAGGAGGCUCCUGUGAUGGGAAAGUUCUCCUUCAGUAUGCCUAGGUCUUGAGUAAACUGAACGCUGAACAUGAGUGUGGUAUCACCAUCGAUACAUCCCUGUGGAAAUUAGAGACCAGCAAGUAUUAUUGAUUCCCCAGGACACAGAGACUUUAUCAAAAAUAUGAUUACAGGCACGUCUCAGGCUGACUGUGCUGUCCUGAUCGUUGCUGCUGGUGUUGUGAAUGUGAAGCAGGUGUCUCCAGGAAGGAGCAGACCCAUAAGCAUGCCCUUCUGGCUUACACGCUGGGUGUGAAAUAACUAGUGGUUGCUGUUAACAAAAUGGGUUCCACUGAGCUGCCUUACAACCAGAAGAGAUACGAGGAAAACGUUAAGGAAGGCAGCGCCUACAUUAAGAAAAUUGGCUACAACCCUGACACAGUAGCAUUGUGCCAAUUACUGGUUGGAAUGGUGACAACAUACUGGAGCCAGGUGCUAACAUGCCUUGGUUCAAGGGAUGGAAAGUCACAUGUAAAGAUGGCAGUGCCAGUGGAACCACGCUGCUUGAAGCUCUGGAUUACAUCCUGACACUAGCACAUCGAACUGACAAGACCUUGUUCUGUCCCUCCAGGAUGUCUACACAAUUGGUGGUAUUGGCACUGUCCCCGUGGGCUGAGUGGAGACUGCUGUUCUCAAACCCAGCAUGGGGGUCACCUUUGCUCCAGUCAAUGCAGCAACUAAGUAAUGUCGGUUGACAUGCAUGAUGCAGCUUUGAGUGAAGUUCUUCCUGGGGACAAUGUGGGCUUCAAUGUCAAGAAUAUGUCUGUCAAGGAUGUUCAUUGUGUCAGUGUAGCUGGUGACAGCAAAAAUGACCCUCCAGUGGAAGCAGCUGGCUUCACAGCUCAGUGCCAGAUAUGCACCUGUGCUGGAUUGUCACACAGCUCACCUUGCUUGCAAAUUUGCUGAGCUGAACUUGAUCGUCAUUCUGGGAAGAAGCUGGAAGAUGGCCCCAAAUUCUUGAAAUCUGGUGAUACUAUCAUCAUUGAUGUGGUUCCUGGCAAGCCCAUGUGUGUUGAGAGCUUCUCUGACUAUCCUCCUCUGGGCUGUUUUGCUGUUCAUGACAGGAGAGUGACAGUUGGUAUGGGUGUCAUCAAAGCAGUGGACAAGAAGGCAGCUGGAGCUGGCAAGGUCACCAAGUCUGCCCAGAAA